AUUGAACGCUGGCGGCAUGCCUUACACAUGCAAGUCGAACGGCAGCACGGGAGCAAUCCUGGUGGCGAGUGGCGAACGGGUGAGUAAAGUAUCGGAACGUGCCCAGUCGUGGGGGAUAACGUAGCGAAAGUUACGCUAAUACCGCAUACGAUCUAUGGAUGAAGGCGGGGUAUCGCAAAACCUCGCGCGAUUGGAACGGCCGAUAUCAGAUUAGGUAGUUGGUGGGGUAAAGGCUCACCAAGCCGACGAUCUGUAGCUGGUCUGAGAGGACGACCAGCCACACUGGGACUGAGACACGGCCCAGACUCCUACGGGAGGCAGCAGUGGGGAAUUUUGGACAAUGGGCGCAAGCCUGAUCCAGCCAUGCCGCGUGCAGGAUGAAGGCCUUCGGGUUGUAAACUGCUUUUGUACGGAACGAAAAGGUUUGACUCAAUACGUUGGACUCAUGACGGUACCGUAAGAAUAAGCACCGGCUAACUACGUGCCAGCCGCCGCGGUAAAAC
rnacentral:rRNA from 1 species